CUGACGUUAGCGGCGGACGGGUGAGUAACACGUGGGUAACCUACCUAUAAGACUGGGAUAACUCCGGGAAACCGGGGCUAAUACCGGAUAACACAUGAAACCGCAUGGUUUCAUGAUGAAAGACGGUUUUGCUGUCACUUAUAGAUGGACCCGCGGCGUAUUAGCUAGUUGGUAAGGUAACGGCUUACCAAGGUAACGAUACGUAGCCGACCUGAGAGGGUGAUCGGCCACACUGGAACUGAGACACGGUCCAGACUCCUACGGAGGCAGCAGCC
rnacentral:rRNA from 1 species